rnacentral:rRNA from 1 species
AGUGAACGCUGGCGGUAGGCCUAACACAUGCAAGUCGAACGGCAGCACAGUAAGAGCUUGCUCUUACGGGUGGCGAGUGGCGGACGGGUGAGGAAUACAUCGGAAUCUACUUUUUCGUGGGGGAUAACGUAGGGAAACUUACGCUAAUACCGCAUACGACCUACGGGUGAAAGCAGGGGAUCUUCGGACCUUGCGCGAUUGAAUGAGCCGAUGUCGGAUUAGCUAGUUGGCGGGGUAAAGGCCCACCAAGGCGACGAUCCGUAGCUGGUCUGAGAGGAUGAUCGGCCACACUGGAACUGAGACACGGUCCAGACUCCUAAGGGAGGCAGCAGUGGGGAAUAUUGGGCAAUGGGCGCAAGCAUGACCCAGCCAUACCGCGUGGGUGAAGAAGGCCUUCGGGUUGUAAAGCCCUUUUGUUGGGAAAGAAAAGCAGCAGGUUGAUACCCCGCUGUUCUGACGGUACCCAAAGAAUAAGCACCGGCUAACUACGUG